UACGUAGGGUGCAAGCGUUAAUCGGAAUUACUGGGCGUAAAGCGUGCGCAGGCGGUUUUGUAAGUCUGACGUGAAAUCCCCGGGCUCAACCUGGGAAUUGCGAUGGAGACUGCAAGGCUUGAAUCUGGCAGAGGGGGGUAGAAUUCCACGUGUAGCAGUGAAAUGCGUAGAGAUGUGGAGGAAUACCGAUGGCGAAGGCAGCCCCCUGGGAUAACACUGACGCUCAUGCACGAAAGCGUGGGGAGCAAACAGG
rnacentral:rRNA from 1 species